rnacentral:lncRNA from 1 species
GUUUUCUACCUCUCGUGGUAGCAUGUGUUUAAAGGAAAAGAGUUUUCGUGUGGGAAACAGUUUUUAAAAGAGUUUUCGCGGUUUUCAUGAUUCUUAGUAUUUCAAAUUAAGUUUCCGAGUGGAAAACGUUUUAAACUGAUAGAUGUAGAAUUAUGAUUAACUGUGAUGGAUUGAAUGUGAAUGGAAUAUGUGAUGUGGUGAUUGUAUGUGAAUGAUUAUACUGUGUGGUUGUAUCUUGUAUUUGUCUGACGCCGUGCAAAUAGAGAGGAGACUCUCUCCGUAUGAACAGUGGACUCCUUGUAUUUGUGGUUGAUCUGACGUCUUCUAGGGUUA